UCCCGUACUUCUUACAAUUGCGAUGGGGGGACGGAGAAGGCUAGGUGGGCCUGGCGACGGUUGUCCAGGUUCAAGUGCGUAGGCUUAAGAGUUAGGUAAAUCCGGCUCUUUUUAAGGCUGAGACACGACGUCGAGCACCUACGGGUGUGAAGUCAUUGAUGCCAUGCUUCCAGGAAAAGCCUCUAAGCUUCAGAUUGUAAGGAAUCGUACCCCAAACCGAC
rnacentral:rRNA from 1 species